rnacentral:lncRNA from 1 species
CAUUUCAAUCUCUGGUCCAUUUAGAUUUUAUUCUUGCAGGUAGCGUGAAGAAUGGAUCUAAUUUUGUCUUUUUCCAGAUGGCCGUCCAGCUGCCCCAACACCACGUGAUAAAAAGUCCGUCUUCUAUACUGAUUUGAGAUGCCACUCCUCUUGUGCUGGAUUUUCCUGGGCGCGUGGCUCCGUCUCUAGUCUUGGCGUCCUCUCCCGUUGGUCAUCGUUGGUCCAGCCUGGGACCCAUGUCGCUCCGAUCCAGGCCUUCAGCACUGCCCACCCAGAUGGGCUCCGGCUCCGCAGGGUCACCAGCCGUGCUGCAGGGGACACCCGUGUGCCCCACCUGCCGUGGGCCGGAGCCUUGGGGUGAGAUCAGCAGGAGUGGAAGCACUGGGUCCAGGCCUCCGCGGAUCUCCUCCCGGCUGACACCAGGGGGCUCAGGUCUGCGUGGCUUCGCCCGCUGCCUGCCGGGGACUGAGCAGGCGCUGUGGUCCCGGCACCGCCCCUCCCGCCCCUUCCGACCGUGUGGCUCCCCGUGCUUGCCAGCUGUGUCGCCCGGUGCAGGCUCAUCGUGCGGGUUCCCUAUUCCUGAUGAAUGAUCUGUUUUCGGUGGGAGGUGUCCCUCUUUUUUCCUGAUGAUUCUGCUUCUCUUGAAGCCCGGCUGCCCGUCAAGCUCCUCGGAGUCGGUGUCUCCCCACCUGUCACCUCCAGGCUCUCUGCGCCUCUGCAGGUCUCGCAGGAAACACAGUGGACUCCUGUGCAUUUUCCUUCACCACAACCCUGUGUCAGAUUGGCUUCGCUGUGUGUGUAUCAGGCGAGCAGACUUUGCUUCGGUAACAGUUAUGGUGACCCAGAUGGAACAUUCGUGCUGAGUGGUUUCCCACCUGUGGCACAUCAGCCCCUGGCGGGUGGCGGCUCUGGGAUCCUGUCCAGCAGCUGCCCGGGCGCUUUUGUCUCAGGGACAGCCCCCAGUGCCUGCCGCUGACUGGGCAUCGCUGGACCACGGCACUUUCGAUUCCCUGAAGGAAGCAAGGCUGUGGUCCUGGUCUGAGACAUCUGGUAAGUGGUGGAACCUGUGUGUCAACACCAGGUGUUCUUCCCUACUGGGUGCGUUGGUUGGGAUUUUCCUUUUGGGGAGAGGGGAGGCAUAGGACUUAGUCAUCUGGUUUUGAGCAGAGCACCACUUUAACUGGGUUUUCCCUUCUGGGUCGAGGAGUCUCUCGGUCAUCCGGCACUGCCUACAGUCACCCCCCGUUAGACCACGGCUCCUCUGCACCCCGGUUGGAACAGCAGGUAGGAAACUUUCCAUUCUUGUACUAGGGAACUGUGACCCUGAGAAGCCCUGGACACGAGUCUGGUUCUGGUGACACUGGCUGUGUGAAAGAAUGUGAAAUCAGAGCUCUAUUCGAUCUUGGAGUCCCCUAGGGUGUAUUUUACAAAACUGGGACAUUUUCAGCUAGGCUCCCACGUAAAGGAAGAAAAUG